CGUCAGAUAGCUCAGUGGUCUAGAGCAGUCGCCCGGCAAGUGAAAAGACCCGGGUUCGAUUCCCGGUCUAGCGA
rfam:Harpegnathos saltator strain R22 G/1 HarSal_1.0_2.contig7973, whole genome shotgun sequence.